CCUACGGGUGGCAGCAGUGGGGAAUAUUGGACAAUGGGGGGAACCCUGAUCCAGCCAUGCCGCGUGUGUGAAGAAGGCCCUCGGGUUGUAAAGCACUUUCAGUGAGGAAGAACGCCUGGUGGUUAAUACCCAUCAGGAAAGACAUCACUCACAGAAGAAGCACCGGCUAACUCCGUGCCAGCAGCCGCGGUAAUACGGAGGGUGCGAGCGUUAAUCGGAAUUACUGGGCGUAAAGCGCGCGUAGGUGGCUUGAUAAGCCGGUUGUGAAAGCCCCGGGCUCAACCUGGGAACGGCAUCCGGAACUGUCAAGCUAGAGUGCAGGAGAGGAAGGUAGAAUUCCCGGUGUAGCGUUGAAAUGCGUAGAGAUCGGGAGGAAUACCAGUGGCGAAGGCGGCCUUCUGGACUGACACUGACACUGAGGUGCGAAAGCGUGGGUAGCAAACAGGAUUAGAUACCCCUGUAGUC
rnacentral:rRNA from 1 species